rnacentral:rRNA from 1 species
GAUGAACGCUGGCGGCGUGCUUAACACAUGCAAGUCGAACGAAGCACUUUAUUUGAUUUCCUUCGGGACUGAUUAUUUUGUGACUGAGUGGCGGACGGGUGAGUAACGCGUGGGUAACCUGCCUUGUACAGGGGGAUAACAGUUGGAAACGGCUGCUAAUACCGCAUAAGCGCACAGCAUCGCAUGAUGCAGUGUGAAAAACUCCGGUGGUAUAAGAUGGACCCGCGUUGGAUUGGCUAGUUGGUGAGGUAACGGCCCACCAAGGCGACGAUCCAUAGCCGACCUGAGAGGGUGACCGGCCACAUUGGGACUGAGACACGGCCCAAACUCCUACGGGAGGCAGCAGUGGGGAAUAUUGCACAAUGGGCGAAAGCCUGAUGCAGCGACGCCGCGUGAGCGAAGAAGUAUUUCGGUAUGUAAAGCUCUAUCAGCAGGGAAGAUAAUGACGGUACCUGACGAAGAAGCACCGGCUAAAUACGUG